GACGAACGCUGGCGGCGUGCUUAACACAUACAAGUCGAACGGUAAGGCCCUUCGGGGUACACGAGUGGCGAACGGGUGAGUAACACGUGGGUGAUCUGCCCUGCACUUCGGGCUAAGCCUGGGAAACUGGGUCUAAUACCGGAUAGGACCACUGCCUGCAUGGGUGGUGGUGGAAAGCCUUUGCGGUGUGGGAUGGGCCCGCGGCCUAUCAGCUUGUUGGUGGGGUGAUGGCCUACGAAGGCGACCACGGGUAGCCGGCCUGAGAGGGUGACCGGCCACACUGGGACUGAGAUACGGCCCAGACUCCUACGGGAGGCAGCAGUGGGGAAUAUUGCACAAUGGGCGCAAGCCUGAUGCAGCGACGCCGCGUGAGGGAUGACGGCCUUCGGGUUGUAAACCUCUUUCAGCACCGACGAAGCGCAAGUGACGGUAGGUGCAGAAGAAGGACCGGCCAACUACGUGCCAGCAGCCGCCGUAACAC
rnacentral:rRNA from 1 species